CAGCCGCCGCGGGAAUACGAGGGGGGCAAGCGUUGUUCGGAAUUAUUGGGCGUAAAGGGCGCGUAGGCGGUUUGACAAGUUUGGUGUGAAAUCUAUGGGCUCAACCCAUAGCCUGCAUCGAGAACUGUCGGGCUUGAGUAUGGGAGAGGUGAGUGGAAUUUCCGGUGUAGCGGUGAAAUGCGUAGAUAUCGGAAGGAACACCUGUGGCGAAAGCGGCUCACUGGACCAUAACUGACGCUGAGGCACGAAAGCUAGGGGAGCAAACAGGAUUAGAUACCCCAGUAGUCCCUGUCUCUUAUAC
rnacentral:rRNA from 1 species